UAUUUUUUCUUGAAUCAUUCAAGCGUAAAAACGGGUAAAUUCACGCGAAAAACGAAAAACGAAAAAAUGAUGCAACGAAAAGCCGGAUAUUUAAAGUCCAUCUGUCUCGUCGUUAAAAUGUCGUGACACGUGGUCGCACCUGGUUGUCGUCGAAAGAGGCAGUCAAAAUGCCAUGUGACUCAACACUGACAGGAGGCAGAAAAAGCUUGAGAUCGCAGUAGAUAGAAGCCUGUGAGAAUAAAGAGGAAAGAAGCAUCAAAAAUGCAGAACAUUGUUAAAGAAUAUCCGGCUAUAUUCGACAUAUGUCCGAAACAUUGGCUCUAGUUCGAACACGAUGGAAUCAUCAAAAUAUUUGAAGAUUUAAAAUUGGGACAAGGAAGAACAUUAUUAUUUAUAAUUAAAACAAAUAACUUCUUAUUGCAAACGAUACUUAUUAAAGAAUUAUGUGACAACAUUGAUAUCUUUCUUAUUGAACAUAUGUUAAAACUUUCAUAUAUAUUAUAAAAACUAUAUUACUAUCGAAAUUUUAUUUUUCUUGGUGAGUCAUUUUUAUUUAAAGAUAAAAAUUAUAGGUAUUAUAUUAAUAUCAUGUUAUUAUAUCUUAUUAUUAAAUAAGAAAAAUGCAAUUCAUCGCAUCUUGUGGUGCAGUAGGUUAUUGUUUGUAAUAGAUAAAAGUAUUGGAAGCGAAUGUUGAACUUCUGAGAACUUUCAAUCUGACUGAUAAGAUAGUGAAUUAAGUCUUGGACAAGCGAAUGGAACGAACAUCCGCUAAUUCUUUGACAAUAGGAAUACAAAGAUGUAUAUGUCACUGAAAACAAGGAUCACAUCUCGUAGAUACUUCAUGGACAUCCUAUAGAAUACAAUCAUCUAUCAAAAUCAGCUUAGAAAAUCUUAAAACGACUUUGAAGGAAUUAUUUGAAAAAGAUUCUUUUGCAUGAAAAAGACAUGAAUCUAAAUUUUGAUCUGUAAAACCGAACCUCAAUUCUGAUUCUUAUAAUUUACAUAUCUAUCGAUUACCAAAAAAUUAUAAUCUCUUUUAUUAAAAACUCCCCAAACGAAAAAGUCUAUGGAUGAUCCAAUCACGAUAAUACGUGAUAACAAAUGAACAAUUAUUCUGUUUCACGCAAACCUAUACUGCCAAAGAGGAAACUCGUCUGACUAAUCAUCGUGGAAACAAUCGUUAAAAGAGAAAUUACCAUGUAAAUAUUCCAAGUGACUCAUAAGCAUUCCUCGAGCGUGCCAUGUUUCACCGUUUCCUCCACCUCCGUCUAUGAAAUACCAAAGGGAUUUCGCAGGUUAACGAGAUCAUGAUAAUCUGCACAGCGGAAUCGAAUACACUGACCUGAAAAUUAUCGAUGGAUCGUGCAUGGAAACAUGAAUACGUGCGAAUACGAAGAAAUUCUCGGUAGGAGGAAAGAGAAAAAAGAAGGGAUCCAAGAAAGGCACGGCAGAGUACAGGUGCCGCGCCCUGUUGAACCUCUAGUUCGACUUCUCACAGUCGAUUAUGUAUUCAUGAGUGUUUGAGAAGAAAGAAAAAGGAAAAGAAACAGUAGACAUAGUUAGUCUCGUUCGAUGCAAAGAAGAUUCCUUUUUAGGCAAAGAUGUAGAUAAAAGAUACACGACAUCGUUGGAAGUUUGCACUAAGAGAUGCAACACGGAUGAGAAUAGAAUUGUUCUAAUCUUUCUAAUCUAAAAAAUUAAAAAAUUAAUAACAUAACGGAAAAGUCUUAAAAUACAAAAAGAUAUUUUGAAAAAAAUAUCCAUUCAUUGUAAAAAGAAUUCAUUUAUAUCAUUUAUUAAGUUCAUUAAAUAAUUUUAUAUCUUCUAUUUCUUUUUUUUUUUUUUUUAAUUUAGAAUUAUUAAAUUUUUUUUAUUCUUUGUUUCAUGAGAUUUACGUAUUAUAAGAAAUCCACAUUAUGACUGGACAAGCAUUGUUCAAGUAAUAUUCUCACGACUCGAGUGUAUUCUCAUGAUAGCUAUAUACCGGAUAAAUAUAAUCCGCGUCAAGACAC
rnacentral:lncRNA from 1 species